UACGUAGGAGACAAACGUUAUCCGGAAUUACUGGGCGUAAAGGGUCCGUAGGCGGUGCGGAAAGUCGAUAGUGAAAUCUCUGGGCUUAACCCAGAGGCUGCUAACGAAGCUGCCGUGCUAGAGUGUGAGAGAGGCGAGUGGAAUUACGGGUGUAGCGGUGAAAUGCGUAGAUAUCCGUAGGAACAUCCGAGGCGAAAGCGGCUCGCUGGAUCACAACUGACGCUGAGGGACGAAAGCUAGGGGAGCAAACAGG
rnacentral:rRNA from 1 species